rnacentral:rRNA from 4 species
GUAGUCCGGAUUGGAGUCUGCAACUCGACUCCAUGAAGUCGGAAUCGCUAGUAAUCGUGGAUCAGAAUGCCACGGUGAAUACGUUCCCGGGCCUUGUACACACCGCCCGUCACACCAUGGGAGUGGGUUGCAAAAGAAGUAGGUAGCUUAACCUUCGGGAGGGCGCUUACCACUUUGUGAUUCAUGACUGGGGUGAAGUCGUAACAAGGUAACCGUAGGGGAACCUGCGGUUGGAUCACCUCCUUA